rnacentral:rRNA from 1 species
AACCUGAGAGUUUGAUCCUGGCUCAGAGCGAACGCUGGCGGCAUGCUUAACACAUGCAAGUCGCACGAACCUUUCGGGGUUAGUGGCGGACGGGUGAGUAACGCGUAGGGAUCUGU